rnacentral:lncRNA from 1 species
CUGUAUGUCUGUUCUGAAUUCGAAUCUGUGACUCAAGCAGGUUCGAAACUGCUGGCAAUAGUCCUGGGCGGACGCCAGCUUAUAGGACAGCCAAUGGAGACCGGUGGGAGACGUCCCCUGGCUCUCUUCUGAUUUAAAUUGCGAUCUGAGUUGCCGGAGCGCGUUUGCAAUCCGGGCAACAGCUGACUCUGACCCCGGUUCCCAGGCGCGCGCGUGCGGUCUGAGUUGCCCCGGUUCCCGGGCGCGCGCGUGCGGUCUGAGUUGCCCCGGUUCCCGGGCGCGCGCGUGCGGUCUGAGUUGCCCCGGUUCCCGGGCGCGCCCGCUUGCGGCCCCAGUCCCCAGGCUCCCGGCUUCCGGCGCCGCGCUUGCGGCCCCGGUCCCCGGACUCCCGCCUUCCGGCGCCGCGCUUGCGGCUCCGGUCCCCGGGCUCCCGGCUUCCGGCGCGGUUCCUGGGCGCGCACGCUUGCGGCCCCGGUCCCCGGGCUCCCGGCUUCCGGCGCCGCGCUUGCAGCCCCGGUCCCCAGGCUCCUGGCUUCCGGCGCGGAUUUCCUUUACAGGGAUUGUAACCCACAUUCCUUUACAGGAAGAGACACAGAAACCUUGCAGAAAAUUCAUCAAGAAAUCUGGCCCAAGCUGAAGGAACUAUAUGAGACCGGUCCCCUGCCGACACCCCAUCCAUACCAGCCGGGAGACUGGGUCCUGGUCAAGCGACACCGACAAGAGACCCUAGAACCCAGGUGGAAAGGACCACUCCAGAUUUCCAAGCCGAAAUUCUAG